CUACCUUCCAAUCACUAGUCGACCUGCUCUACCAGCUGAGCUACAGCCGCCCUCAGCAGAGCCAUACAUCAGAACCUGGGACGGAGUUGGACUUGCUAGGCUCUGUGUCCCCAGCGGGUGAGCUUCCAGAUCUAACGACUGCGGUGCCACAACCUGGGACAGAGUUGGACUCAACGGGCUCUGUGGAUGACAGCCUUGAGAAGACGUGCAGUGCCCCAACUGGUUCAUCUACAGAAGAUGACGAAAUAUAAUUCACCCACAAACUGCCUGAGCAUCCUUGCUUUUUCUUUAUUCCACACAAGGAAUGGGCAAAACUUCGGAAGACACAACAGAACCACCAGUUCAAAAGUCUGAAUUGGACAAAUGAAUGAUGAAUCAUCCCUCAAAGCUGCUGUUAUUUUCCACGGGGAUGAUGUGCGACACAGCAGACGACAAUUGAAAAGAAGGCCAAUAAGAGGCGAAGAAAGACCACUGACUGCCAACACUCUGACCUCUAAACUCCCAAGAAGUAUCUAUUUGCAGAGUUUAAAUAAGAUUGACGAGACUGUUGUAAAAUCUGGCUGCAGAGAUGAGGUGCCAGCUACUGGAGUAAUGAAGACUUUGUCAUGGAGUGAAAGGAAAAAACAAAGGCGGCACGAGAAUGAGAUGAUGAGUCUGCAAUUUAUGUCAGAAGACAAGAAAGGCACUGAUGACCAGUUGAUCCAGAAGCUCAUCCUGCAGCCUAAAGGUGUCAUGCUGUGGUCAAAGAAAACAAUUCAGCUAUUCCACAAAAGGUCAAAGGAGGACAUUGUCCACCUAGGCGUCACUGGUAGUGUUGUCAAAAAAGCCAAAGGGGAGAGCACACCUUUUUAUAUCUACAAACUUGUUGUUAGAAAUCCAGUGAAAGGAUGCUCCCCUGUCCCUGUUGCCACAUAAGUUACUUGUGACCACACCACUGCAUCUGUAUCCUACUUUCUUUGCUCCUUCAUGACAGACUGUGUCUAGUAGGAAGUGCUACUGUGCUGUUCUCAAGUCCAGGCAGUAGUGAAAAUGUUGAGAAACAUUUUCAGAACCUCCAGACGCUUCUGACAGCAGCUUCACAGCCUGUCAUUGAUGAGUCAUGCAUUGCUGAGGAAGAUUUUGUGGCAGAAUGAUUUGGGCCCGACACCAUUUGACAACCACUUUAAGAGGGUAAUCCAGCAGGCAGUAUUGGACAAAGAUGGAGAACAAAACGUGUACUUCUGCCCAAACGUCAUACCGAAGUUUCAGGAGUACUUUCUGCCUCAGGCUGUCCUGUGGUCAGGCCUACUACUGGGUAACCUUGGACAUCAUGGGUGAGGUCCCUUUUAUGCAAAGGUGGCAAAGACGUUCAAAAGAGUGGCCCAGAAAUCAAAUAUUAUCUUCUGUUAACAGUAACUAAACCUACUUCUCUCUGUUAAUUAUAAUCUAGACCCACAGGGUCGAGGACGAAAAAUGGAAAGAGAGGAAACACAGGAGGAGAGGUGUAUGUGUUUCACCAAUCCCAAAGCCUUUUGAUUUUAAGAAACAUCAAUAAAAGAAGGUUUUGACGACUCUCAACCAUCUCUGUCCACAUCCAUCAUCCCAGAGGACACAACAUCCGACCCAUCACACAGGCCUCUGUCUCUGAGGAGCAUGAAGGCAUCACCAAUAAUUCAAGCAGAGAGUGAGCUCCAUAUCAGCAAGCAUGGACAGUUAAAAACUGGAGAUGCAAUAGUGACCAGUGCUGGUGAUCUAAGUGGUCAAAGUGGUCAUUCACGCAGUUGGCCCAAGUGUCCCAAACAAACCAUCACAGGCAGUGCUGUCUAAGCUAAAAAGAAUUUGAAAGUUGUAGUACUGAACAUCCUACAGAAAGUGACGGAACAUGGUUUGCUGUCUGUUGCCAUUCCAGCUAUUAGCUCUGGCAUAUUCAACUUCCCCUUGCCAAUGUGUGCGGACAUUAUAGUGUCCACUCUGCAAGAGUUUCAUGUCAACUAUACGCUGGAUAAUCUGCACCUCACUGUUCACCUUGUGAACAAUGAUGAUCCAUCAGUCAAAAAAGUGGAGAGAGCCUGUACAGAAAUACUUGUACCACCCACUUCAAAGGCCAGCCACACGACCUUACAGGCAAAACGUCAAUAAGAAGAGGAGCAGUUGACAUCACUGUGGAAAAGAAAGGACACAGAAGUUGCAGUUGCUGUGCUCCCCUCCCAUAUUAGAGGAACUAAUCUUGUGAUUUGCCACAGUGAGCUAUGAUCACUGAAACCUCACCAGUGGCUAACAGGCGAGAUCAACUUCAACAAUUACCAAGCUGUACUCUCCUUUGUUAAUAUUGGCAGAGUCCACUGGAAGUUGCUGUACAUAUUUCCUGCCAUAGCCUCAGUGUUUUUGGUGGAUCCAGCAGCAAGCUCAUCAGAGGAAGCAGACUCUGAAGAUGCUGCAAAAAGAGUCAGGAUCUGCUAUGGCAAGGAGGAUUGGGGGACUGUCAAAUGGAGAGGAUCAACCAUGCACCAUCCAGUUCAACGUGAUGGCAGUAGCUGUGGGGUCAUUGUCACCAUGGUAACAUAACUGCUCUAUUUCUAUAGCAAGGGCAGUGAUGGAAGCCUUUCCUGCGUUACCAGGUAUGUCUUUUGGGACAUCCAAAAAUGAGAUGGCUUGUGAAAGGAGGACAUUUGCACUUUCAAUACUCAGCAGUUCUGUGUUUGACAUGGAGAACAACUGUGCAAUGUGCUCCUUUUCAAAGCCCCCAAGAUCUGGGCUUCCCACUACUGGUUGGAUACAGUGUGAUAGCUCUGAUAGAUGGUUCCAUGUGCAGUGCCUGGGGUGACUAAGGACCAACACAGAGAUGCCAGGACAAGCACCUGGAAUUACCUUGACUUUAGAUAUUCAGUAGAUUUGACUAUAUUUUUGUCUGUUGUGUUAUGAGAACAACUUCAGUCCGACAUAGUCUUAGAAUGAUGAUGUUUUUCAUGUUCGAAGAAACAUUGUCUGAUUUUGAUUAUAUAUUUAACUAGAUCGAUGUAUCUAAUUUAAGGUGUUCAAAUUGUUUUAUUUAAAAUGACAAACUUUAAGUAUACUUUUAUAUUUUUUUAAUUUAUUGGGUUUAAAAAUGUGAAAACAUGUAAAUAGUAUUUUGGAUGCGAAAUAGAUCAUUCUAAUUUAAGA